rnacentral:rRNA from 1 species
UACGUAGGUGGCAAGCGUUGUCCGGAAUUAUUGGGCGUAAAGCGCGCGCAGGCGGUCCUUUAAGUCUGAUGUGAAAGCCCACGGCUCAACCGUGGAGGGUCAUUGGAAACUGGGGGACUUGAGUGCAGGAGAGAAGAGUGGAAUUCCAGGUGUAGCGGUGAAAUGCGUAGAUAUCUGGAGGAACACCGGUGGCGAAGGCGGCAUCCUGGACCAACACUGACGCUGAGGAGCGAAAGCCAGGGGAGCAAACGGG